rnacentral:rRNA from 1 species
AUUGAACGCUGGCGGCAUGCUUUACACAUGCAAGUCGAGCGGCAGCGCGGGGGCAACCCUGGCGGCGAGCGGCGAACGGGUGAGUAAUACAUCGGAACGUGUCCCGUAGUGGGGGAUAGCCCGGCGAAAGCCGGAUUAAUACCGCAUAUGCUCUACGGAGGAAAAGUGGGGGACUCGCAAGGGCCUCACGCUAUGGGAGCGGCCGAUGUCCGAUUAGCUUGUUGGCGGGGAAUGGCCCACCAAGGCGACGAUCGGUAGCUGGUCUGAGAGGAUGAUCAGCCACACUGGGACUGAGACACGGCCCAGACUCCUACGGGAGGCAGCAGUGGGGGAAUUUUGGACAAUGGGCGCAAGCCUGAUCCAGCAAUGCCGCGUGGAUGAAGAAGG